rnacentral:ncRNA from 1 species
CCAUUAAUGGGAAAAAGUCACCAUCACGUGGUUCUUUUGAAGCUACUGCAGUAGAUAAAACUACUGUAUCACCAUAACGAACGAGUACGGCACCAUUAGCUUGUUUAGCAAGUUGACCUGUUUCAAUCGUUAAUGAUCUGUUUGCCCAUUCGGUUUUAAAAACUUUUUUCUCUUGAGACAUUACGAAUCUCCUCUCAUAUAUCUAUUAGUUCUAUCAUAUCAUUUCUUAGAAUAA